UAACUGGGCGUAAAGGGCACGCAGGCGGACUUUUAAGUGAGGUGUGAAAUCCCCGGGCUUAACCUGGGAAUUGCAUUUCAGACUGGGGGUCUAGAGUACUUUAGGGAGGGGUAGAAUUCCACGUGUAGCGGUGAAAUGCGUAGAGAUGUGGAGGAAUACCGAAGGCGAAGGCAGCCCCUUGGGAAUGUACUGACGCUCAUGUGCGAAAGCGUGGGGAGCAAACAGGAUUAGAUACCCUGGUAGUCCACGCUGUAAACGCUGUCGAUUUGGGGAUUGGGCUUUGAGCUUGGUGCCCGUAGCUAACGUGAUAAAUCGACCGCCUGGGGAGUACGGCCGCAAGGUUAAAACUCAAAUGAAUUGACGGGGGCCCGCACAAGCGGUGGAGCAUGUGGUUUAAUUCGAUGCAACGCGAAGAACCUUACCUACUCUUGACAUCCAUGGAAUCUUGUAGAGAUAUGAGAGUGCCUUCGGGAACCAUGAGACAGGUGCUGCAUGGCUGUCGUCAGCUCGUGUCGUGAG
rnacentral:rRNA from 1 species